rnacentral:rRNA from 1 species
AGUGAACGCUGGCGGUAGGCCUAACACAUGCAAGUCGAACGGCAGCACAGUAAGAGCUUGCACUUACGGGUGGCGAGUGGCGGACGGGUGAGGAAUACAUCGGAAUCUACUUUUUCGUGGGGGUUAACGUAGGGCAACUUACGCUAAUACCGCAUACGACCUACGGGUGAAAGCAGGGGAUCUUCGGACCUUGCGCGUUUGAAUGAGCCGAUGUCGGAUUAGCUAGUUGGCGGGGUAAAGGCCCACCAAGGCGACGAUCCGUAGCUGGUCUGAGAGGAUGAUCAGCGACACUGGAAGUGAGACACGGACCAGACUCCUACGGGAGGCACCAGUGGGGAAUAUUGGACAAAGCGCGCAAGCCUGAUCCAGCCAUACCGCGUGGGUGAAGAAGGCCUUCCGGUUGUAAAGCCCUUUUGUUGGGAGAGAAAAGCAGCAGGUUGAUACCCCGCUGUUCUGACGGUACCCAAAGAAUAAGCACCGGCUAACUUCGUG